AAUUAGAGAAGAAGGGGAUGGUGAGCUUCUAAGAGCUAGUCCAGGAGCAGGAAGGUCUGUGUAAUACUAUAAAAGGGCUUAGAGUAAAUGCAGUGUGACUGUGUGAGUUUCCUGCAAUCCACACAGGGGAAGUCACAAGGAAGGGAAUACAGGCUGGAGAGAGCAGCAGUCAGACACUGCCAUGCCCACAGGGAGCUUGUGGACCAGCUCUUGGUGGGAGAAAGAACUGGCGGUCAAAACGGAAGAUGCAGGCUGUACAGGCAUGGAGCUGGCAUCUGCUUCGUUUCUGGGGAAGCCUCAGGGAAUUUUUACUCAUGGUAGAUGGCAAAAUGGGAGCAAGUACCUCACAUGGAAGGAGCAGGCACCUCACAUGACGAGAGCAGGAGCAGAAGAGAGAGCAAGGUGAAGGAGGCCAAACACUUUUAAACAGCGAGAGCUUGUGAGAACUCACUGUAAUGAGGUCAGCACUACGUGGAUGGUGCUAAACCAUUCAUGAGAAAUCCACCUCCAUGAUCCAAUCGCCUCCCACCAGUCCUCCCCUCGGAUGCUGGGAAUUACAUUUCAACAUGAGAUUUUGGGGAAGAAAUACUUAGACUGUAUCAGUCAAUAUCCUCAAUGAGGUAUUCUUCCAAAUCAAUUUCUUAAAAUGACAAACAAUAAGAAAAAUGAGCAAAGAACACAAAAAAGCAAUUUACAAAAGAAAUGGUCAAUAGCAUGAAAGAAAGCUAAGCCACACCCACAGCAAUAAUCCAGUCACUCAAUAUUAUUUUUUAAAAGAGAGAGAAACAGUAUCAACAGUGGAUAAGAACACAAACUGUAGAGCUAGAAUUUCUGAGUUUGAAGACCUACUUCUAAAAUUUGCUAACUGUGUAACUUUGGGCAAAUGCCUCGAUCUUUGUUUCCGUUUCCUCAUCUGUGAACUGAUAGUCAGGAUAGUAUCCAUGUCAUUAGGUUGUUUUGGGUAUUAAAUGGGUGUUAAUACAGGUUGAUUACUUAGAACAGUGCCUAGGGUAUAGCAAAUGUGUGAGUUUUAGAAAUGACUGUUACUAUUCCUGUUUGGUGUUUAUAUUUUUCUUAAAUGUUUAUAAAAUGACAAUACCUAAUGUUGGCUAAGUGGAG
rnacentral:lncRNA from 13 species